rnacentral:lncRNA from 1 species
GUUGAUUCCAUUACUAACUUACAAGCUAGUUUUAGAUUGUAAGUUAGUUUUGAAACCGUCCUUCGUGUAUACAUUCCUUUGUGUGUCUUAUCCUUUUGAGUCGUUGUAAUACUUGGUCCACCUCUUACUGCCUCACGGAGUACAAGCAAGGUUACGACACUUGUGAGAUCAAAGUGAGAAAAAAAUCCGAGAGCCAAAACAAUAGAGAGGGUGUGUGAGGACCAUUCUUGUACAACUAACUUGUUUAUUG